UACGGGGGGGGCAAGCGUUGUUCGGAAUUACUGGGCGUAAAGGGCUCGUAGGUGGCCAACUAAGUCAGACGUGAAAUCCCUCGGCUUAACCGGGGAACUGCGUCUGAUACUGGAUGGCUUGAGUUCGGGAGAGGGAUGCGGAAUUCCGCGUGUAGCAGUGAAAUGCGUAGAGAUGCGGAGGAACACCGAUGGCGAAGGCAGCCCCCUGGGCUGACACUGACGCUCAGGCACGAAAGCGUGGGGAGCAAACAGG
rnacentral:rRNA from 1 species